rnacentral:lncRNA from 10 species
GGGGGACCGUCGUGUCAGCACUGUAAUGCAGUGAUGUUUUUUGUGUCUUUCAGGUGACUUCAUGGUCAUGACGAUUUUCUUCAAUGUGAGCAGGCGGUUUGGCUAUGUUGCCUUUCAAAACUAUGUCCCUUCUUCCGUGACCACGAUGCUCUCCUGGGUUUCCUUUUGGAUCAAGACAGAGUCUGCUCCAGCCCGGACCUCUCUAGCCUCGUAUCAAUAGCCGUGCCCAUGCCCGUAC